CCAGCCAAAAUUUCUUACUCUGCUUCUCCGUGGUCAUCCAUACCUAAAAUCUUUGGGAAAAGACUGUCCUGGAAAUUCUGGGAUUCUACUCCAACUCAUCAAUCUUCUUUCAUCACUGGUCUCCUAAGACUAAGAAUUUUUUUUUUUUAAGAUUUUAUUUUUUUAUUCAAAAGAGACACAGAGAGAAAGAGUGGCAGAGACACAGGCAGAGGGAGAAGCAGGCUCCAUGCAGGAAGCCCGACAUGGGACUCGAUCCCGGGUCUCCAGGAUCACACCCUGGGCUGAAGGCAAGGCGCUAAGCCACUGAGCCACCCGGGCUGCCCAAGACUAAGAAUUUAGAAAUGAGUAGUACUUGCAUAGAUAGGUAUGCUAUGGUGCACACCAGUCAAGGAAACAAUCUUUCCACCGCUCACAGCCCUGCUUCCAAUACAUCUCUGAGAGUUUUGGUUUAGAUCAAGAGGCAUCACAAAAUAAUUUUAACUCAUUUUACAGAUAAAUAUACAUCAUUAAAAUCCAGCAGAUGGGUUAAAAGGUGUCAGAAAAAAAAAUCAAGCUAUACCUAGUUUGAAUGCUGGACCAGGAAUUGUAACAAUUUAAGUAAGCUUUAAGUAAAUUGCCUUUUUUUUUUUUAAGUCCUUUAUUACAUAGAGGACUUCAUGGUUCUGUGGUUUGUUUUGGUUUUGGUUUUGGUUUUGGUUCUGUGUAUUUCACGGAGGAUGCUCAACUAAGACAAACUUAUAAAACAGAUAAAGGGCACAGAAGGAACACCCUUCAAAGAGAGAGCAGCUGUGGGACCCCCGAGACACCCCAGGGCUCUGGAGCGCACACUUCCACAGUCACCGGGCCCGGAGCGGGAGUCAAGAAGUAGAGACUCGUCUGUGCUCAACACCAGCAGAC
rnacentral:lncRNA from 12 species